AUUGAACGCUGGCGGCAGGCUUAACACAUGCAAGUCGAACGAGCGGCGGACGGGUGAGUAAUGUCUGGGAAACUGCAUGAUGGAGGGGGAUAACUACUGGAAACGGUAGCUAAUACCGCAUACCAUCAGAUGUGCCCAGAUGGGAUUAGCUAGUAGGUGGGGUAAUGGCUCAACUAGGCGACGAUCCCUAGCUGGUCUGCGAGGAAGACCAGCCACACUGGACAUGAGAAACGGUCCAGAAUCAUACGGGAGGCAGUAGUGGUGAAUAUUGCACAAUGGGCGCAAGCCUGAUGCAGCCAUGCCGCGUGUGUGAAGAAGGCCUGCGGGUUGUAAAGCACUUUCAGCGAGGAGGCGUUACUCGCAGAAGAAGCACCGGAUAACUCCGUGCCAGCAGACGCGGUAAUUC
rnacentral:rRNA from 1 species